UGGAUACCGAUGGGAAGCUUGUAAAUGAAGAGCCAGCAAAAACAAGCCUUCAAGGAUAUGAUGAAGAAGAAAAAUUUAAAGGGCUUUUUCCAAAAUCUAUUCCUAUAGUUAAGCCUAUCCCAAAGUUAGUUAAACCUAUUCCUAUUCCCGUGUAUAAGCCUAUACCAAAACCAAUUCCCUUGGUGAAGCCUAUUUCAAAGCCAAUUCCAAUUAUAAAGUCAAUUUCUAAUGAAGAAGAAAAAUUUAAAGGACUUCCAAAACCUAUUCCAGUAAUUAAGCCGAUUCCAAAACUAAUUCCUGUUGUAAAACCUAUUCCUGUUCCAAUAUAUAAACCUACACCAAAAUUAAUUCCCAUCAUUAAACCAAUUCCAAUUGUUAAACCUGUACCAAAACCUUUUACAGUGCAAAAACCCAUCCCCGCUAUUGACCCAGAGUCUUUUCUAAAGCCGAAGCCUUUCUUUGAGAAACCUAUUCCUAAAUUGCCACUUGACCCUAAAUUCAAGAAACCACUUCUGCCACCUUUCCCAAUUCAAAAGCCAAUUUCAAGUCCAUAAGAUGAUAAGACUU
rnacentral:lncRNA from 1 species